GGGGGUGUAGCUCAGUGGCAGAGUGCUUGCCUAGCGUGCAAGAGGCCCUGGGUUCUAUGCCCAGCACCACCA